GCCGCCCCUCGCGGAGCCGGCCACCGGCGUCGUCGAUGGCGCCGCACCGGUCGGGACCGGUGCCGCUCGUCGGCUCGAGACCGCCGGGCGGCC
rnacentral:tRNA from 1 species